GGGUCAGUAGGUUGGUCGUGCCACCGGUACGUACUGGUCUCACUGAUUCCUCCUUCCUGAAGAACCGUAAUGCUAUUAAUUUGGUGUUGCGGGGAAACAGGACUGUUACUUUGAAAAAAUUAGAGUGUUUAAAGCAAGCUAACGCUUGAAUACAUUAGCAUGGAACAAUGAAAUAGGACGAUCGAUCCUGUUUUGUUGGUUUCUAGGAUUGACGUA
rnacentral:rRNA from 1 species